rnacentral:tRNA from 1 species
GCAUCGGUGGUUCAGUGGUAGAAUACUCGCCUGCCACGCGGUCGGCCCGGGUUCGAUUCCCGGCCGAUGCA